UCCCGUCCAGACUCCAUCCGCUGGAACUAGACGGGUUCAGGGGAAUACUCCAGCAAGUCUGCCUACCAUAUGCAGUUCUCUGGUCUCUUGGUGCCUUUCCGCUCUGCUAAGGUUUGGAAAGCACAUGCCACCCCCAAAUGCAAGCUCUUCGCCUGGCUUGUCCUGCAUGGAAGGAUCCUCACAGCGGAAAACCUGGCAAUCCGUGGAUGGCCACACAAUCCGAUAUGCUGCCUUUGCAUGGCAUCCAAUGAGACGGUCACUCAUCUCUGUAGAGAUUGCCCCUUCUCGCAGGCGGUCUGGAGGAGCGUCAACGCAGCGGAGGGAAUGCCUAACCGGAGCCCACCGGACGAUGGAACCUCCAUCAACACGUGGUGGGAGGGCUUUCUUGCCAGUGUUCCAGCUCAGAACAGGCGGGAGCGUAGUGGAGCCAUGAUUUACACGCUCUGGAACAUCUAG
rnacentral:rRNA from 1 species